rnacentral:rRNA from 1 species
AGCGAACGCUGGCGGCAGGCCUAACACAUGCAAGUCGAACGAACCCUUCGGGGUUAGUGGCGGACGGGUGAGUAACACGUGGGAACGUGCCUUUAGGUUCGGAAUAACUCAGGGAAACUUGUGCUAAUACCGAAUGUGCCCUUCGGGGGAAAGAUUUAUCGCCUUUAGAGCGGCCCGCGUCUGAUUAGCUAGUUGGUGAGGUAAUGGCUCACCAAGGCUACGAUCAGUAGCUGGUCUGAGAGGAUGACCAGCCACAUUGGGACUGAGACACGGUCCAUACUCCUACGGGAGGCAGCAGUGGGGAAUCUUGCGCAAUGGGGGAAAGCCUGACGCAGCCGUGCGGCGUGGAUGAUGAAGGUCUUAGGAUUGUAAGGUCCUUUCACCGGUGAAGAUAAUGACAGUAGCCGGAGAACAAGCCCCGGCUAACUUCGUGCCAGCCGCAGCCGUAACAC